GAGAAAGCCUCUUCCCAUUCUCCUUCCUCCUCCUCCUCCUCCUCUCGCCCAUUGGGUCGGAAAUUCAAGAAAAGAGAAACAAGCGCGUUAAACGUUUCGAAAACAGACCGCCGGCAUCCCACCUUCGUCUGAAAGCCCGAAGAAAAAAAAAUUCAUUUCUGUAAUUAUUUAUAAAAGUUCUAUUUUUUUUAAUGGAAUAUGCUUUGAGAAGAAUUAUAAUUUCAUAAUUAGAAGCCUAAGAAUUUCAAUUUGUUUUGCGAUUAAAAUUCAAUUUUGUUGAUGGUUUUGUGUGGAAAACUAAGAGGGGGAAGAAAGAGACGUUGGAGAUAACGACGUCUUUUUUAUUUAAUAAAAUUUUUCUCUCUUUUUUUUUUUUGUGGGGAGGGUUUUUGGGGGUUUCAAGAUGUGUGCGGCAGCGGCGACGGGUGACUGGUGGGCGAGGGGGAUAGCGGGACAGAUCGGAGGAGGGUUCAGCCACGAGAGCGAGCAUGACUUGGCUCUCAUGGUCAGCGACUUCCUUGAGAACGGCUGCAGCAGCGGUGCCGAUUCUUGGUGCAGCAGCGAUAGCGAGUCUGGUCUCUCCGAUCUCCAUCAUCUCGCCGAUAAGAUUUCGUUCUAUAGACGCUCAGUAGCUCAGUAUGAGAGUGAUUUACUGUCAUUGGUUCAUUCCCUUAUGGUAUCCAUCAAGGAGACUGACCUUCACCUUGUUAAGUCUGGUACAUGUAAUGCCAGCUGCAUUAGGUUUUCUUUGGUAAAGCUUUUGAGACUUGCUGGUUAUGAUGCUGCUGUAUGUUCAUCUAGGUGGCAGGGUGGUGGCAAGGUCCCUGGAGGUAUGUAAUAUAGGAAUCUUAUACCAAAUUUAAAUUCUUGUAAUUUGUUUGGAGGGAGUAUUAUAAGUGAAGUGGUUCCAAUUUGGGUAGUUUUUGCUAGGGAAUAGAUUUUCAUAUCUUUGAGAUGCAUACAUAUUUUAAUUGAAAUUGACCUGUUUUUACUAAUUAUUUUGUAUUAUUCUUCACAUUGUUCUAUUAUCACAUAAUUUCUUGCUGAGUGCAAAAGGAAAGAUAAGUCCUUGCACAUCAAUUUCCCAUCUUGCAUUUAUGCAGGGUGGACUGGGGGAAGGUGGGGCGGGGCGCCAGGAAUCUCAGUUAAUGCUGUUUUAGAUGGUCCUGCCUCAAAUUUUAGCAUAGUUGAAAUGAUUUAUUCUGCUCUAAGUGGAUGUAUCAUGAAUAUUGUGAUUGCAAUGAAGAGUCAAGAGGGUCUGGUGAUUUUAUUUUGCUUAAGCAACCCAAUUUCCCAUUUCUCCAUGUGUCUUCUAAAGAAUCAUGUUUAUGAUAGAUAUCUAUGUUUAUUUGCAGGUAUUUAUUUAUGUUUGUCUUGUGUUAUACUUUCUGAAGAUUAUUUUUUUAUUCAAAUCCUUCCUAAAAUUAUAUUCUUAUAUUGUAUGGCAGGGGAUCAUGAAUACAUUGAUGUGGUUAACUACAAUAGAAGCUCUGAGCGUUUGAUUAUUGAUAUUGACUUCCAAAGCCACUUUGAGAUAGCUAGAGCUGUGGACUCUUAUGACAGAAUAUUGAAGUCACUUCCUGUUAUUUAUGUGGGCACCAUGACCAGGCUGAAACAGUAUCUUCAAGCCAUGGUUGAAGCUGCUAAAUCUUCUCUCAAGCAAAACUCAAUGCCUCUUCCUCCAUGGAGAUCACUAGCUUACUUGCAAGCAAAGUGGCACUCACCAUACCAGAGACAUUUGAGCCCAGAGGAAGAAAAUUUUAGCAGCAUCAGCUCUUCUGACCAUAAGCAGUGCAGCGGACAUUUAAAGAGGUUGCAAUCUUCGCUCCAAUCUGAAGUGGAAGAAGAGAGACUCUUGAAGCCCAUGAACACUGAUAACUGGAGAGUGAAGCGUGAGAGGCGAAGACAUUCCUUUUUGAGGGGUCCUUGAAGUGUAUAGAAAUUUUGCCCGGGAAUUGCAAGUUCCCUUUGUGAGAGGUUAAUUGUAUUGCGGCUUUCAUGUUCAGUAAUUCUUUUUCCUGAGAUGAAUAAAUGAAGUCCAAUUUUAUACGGAGGACAUAAAGGACAAUAACACAUCAUAUGUGGAGUCAUACAUUUUAUUUUCAUGUUUUGCGCAUUGGCAGCAAGUGACAGUAUCAGAUCUUCCGAACUGCGGGGUUUGUUAUCAAUCCGUGGCCGCAUCUCUGGCUCUGGUGGUACUUGUUUCACCAAAGUGCAUAAUUUGACAGGUCUUUAUUUGUUUAUUUUUAGUAUAAAUUCCAUCUUGAAUAUAUUCCAUGCCAGCUAUUUCAUGGCUAAGGAAAUUUUGUUCAAAUUUGUCUUCUUCUUCAUCUUCUUCAAUUUUUUAGUUACAUAUACUACAACCAGUUAAAAAGGUUGUUUGGGCGAUAUGUACACUACAAGUUAAUGAUACAAUUGAUGAGUCUGGUAGUUUAAUGCAUUCUUUUGUGUCUGUUAUUCCAAUGCAUGUUGUGCGUAUUGUGC
rnacentral:misc_RNA from 1 species